CUCUAACAGCCAUCUUGCCUCAUCUUCCUGAGGGAGCUCUGUCCCAUGAUCCGGUCGCCAGCUACCCAUGCCCGUGAUUUUCCUGUGGGCUUAGAGGCACAGGAACAACAAAAAAUGGCAGAGGGGAGACAGAAGGCACCCGAGGUAUUGUCUUCAUCUGGUUCUUCUUCUGGGCCACCACCAAAGCUGUUGCUGGGGACCGAGAGCACUCCUGGUUCACUUUUUCUGACAUCUUCUGAGGCAUCUGGAGCAUCGUGGACAUGGUCCAGCUAUUUUCUUUUGCAGCUGCAGGAAACAUCAGGUUGAGCUGUAUGAGCUGGUGUGGCAUGCUAUUUCGGGAAAAUCUGACAAAGGGUCUAGGGUUUAUUUUGGAACAUGCCUUUUGAGAUAAGGGGUAGAAGUUUCCCUGAAGAACCCAUGGCUGGAAUGAAGGGAGAGACCCUUCCAUGUUUGUCCCAGGGCUGAAUGAAGGCUACAUCCUAGGGUCUUCGGGCCCCUUCCCUGAUUGUCCUAAGUUUUUGAUUGCUGAGUCCCUCUGCUGCUUUGCUGUCCUAUUCAUACUCUCUUUGAGAGUUGUCAACAUGCCUUGCUCUGUCAAGGACCCUGGCACAUGUGAGUGUUGUGGGACACACGGUGGUGAUAUUUGCUCCUCUCUCACCUCACAUGGACGUGACUUUACACACUCUGAUAUGAGUGUAUGGGAAACAGACAGUGUGGACUUCCCUGAUCGACUUGCCUACAGAUGAGGCAGCAUCUACAGAUCCUGAAACUCAUAUUUGGAAGUGGUACCCUGAGGUGACCCCGUAUCUCCCACAGUGUUACUGGAGGUUCAGAGGACCUGAGGACAUUGGAAUCUCCCAAUCAGCUUUGCUGGGAAAACCAAGUGGAAUUGGCAAUCACUCACAGCAUUUAGAAGCUCAGCUGACCUGAAUGAAAGCUCAGGACACAUCCAGGUGAAAAAUGAAAUUGCUUUGCCUUGUUGCAAUCCUCACAUAUUUCUACUCCAUUCCCUAUAACCAUUUCUUAAUCAGAAGGAAAAAUGCAAGCAGAUACAUUAUGUAAGACAGUGGACUAAGGACUGGGCACCGGGUAGAGGCCAUUUAAUUAAAAGGUGUAAGAUGAAUAGGCUGUAAAAUUCAGCUAGUCCCAUAUAAAAAGAGUUGGUUUAGCAGAAUUGAAUGAUGAUCCAAGUUAACACAUGUGAAUUUCUGGAAGAGAGAAAAACAGCUUUGUAAUCUUAUUACCUUUGCUUUUACUUUUAUUGUGCUUCACAUUCAAGAUUACAGGCUAAGGAAAAAUUUUUUUUAAAUUGAAGAAAGGAAGGAAGAAUGGAAAGGACAGAUGAAAGGAAGAAAGACAGCAGUCAUAUAAGUAUGUAGUUGCAGAUUACGAUCAGAGAAUAUUAUGUUUGUUUAGUAUUAAGUGCCCAUCAGCAUAUAUCUUAAUAAUUUUCAAACUGUUUCACUAGUGAUUAGGAACAACAAAUGUCUGGACUGUGGCUUCAAAAUAGCUUAUCCCAGAUUUAUGACAACAAAGAAGAAUUUUGCGAUGUUUGCUAGGGGGCAUUGUGAGGCCAUCUUUGCCUUGUUUGUUCCUUUGAGUUGUUAGUGGUUGGUCCAUUUUAAUUAUCUGUGUUUCUGUGAGACAUGAAGUAUUACACUGUUAAUUAUGGAGUUUUCAGCCUCAUAAUGGUUUUUGUCUAACUACUUUGACUCCACGUAUUUCCUGUGCCCUUCAAAUUUCUAUGUUUUCUGGUGGGAUUUGGGUAAAUUGAAAACAUUAGAUUAUAGUGGGGGCUUCAUCUGGGAAAUGUAACUGAAUCCCACCUCCACUAUGAAGAGAGACAUUCAGGGGUGCCUGAGUGGCUCAGUAGGUUAAGUGUCCAACUUCAGCUCAGGUUAUGUUCUCAUGGUUGGUGGGUUCGAGCCCCACGUUGGGUUCUGUGCUGACAGCUUAGAGCCUGGAGGCUGCUUCAGAUUCUGUGCCUCCCUCUCUCUCUGCCCCUCCCCUGCUCAUGCUCUGUUUCUCUCUCUCUUUCUCGUUCUCAAAAAUAA